rnacentral:rRNA from 1 species
CCUACGGGAGGCAGCAGUGGGGAAUAUUGGGCAAUGGGCGCAAGCCUGACCCAGCAACGCCGCGUGAAGGAAGAAGGCUUUCGGGUUGUAAACUUCUUUUCUCAGGGACGAAGCAAGUGACGGUACCUGAGGAAUAAGCCACGGCUAACUACGUGCCAGCAGCCGCGGUAAUACGUAGGUGGCAAGCGUUAUCCGGAUUUAGUGGGUGUAAAGGGCGUGUAGGCGGGGACGCAAGUCAGAUGUGAAAACCACGGGCUCAACCUGUGGCGUGCAUUUGAAACUGGGUUUCUUGAGUGCUGGGAAGGCAGGCGGAAUUCGUGGUGUAGCGGUGAAAUGCGUAGAUAUUAGGAGGAACACCAGUGGCGAAGGCGGUCUGCUGGACAGCAACUGACGCUGAGGCGCGAAAGCGUGGGGAGCGAACAGGAUUAGAUACCCUAGUAGUC